CCUACGGGAGGCAGCAGUAGGGAAUUUUCGUCAAUGGGCGCAAGCCUGAACGAGCAAUGCCGCGUGAACGAGGAAGGUCUUCGGAUCGUAAAGUUCUGUCGAAGGGGAAAAAGAGCGGAGAGAGGAAAUGGUCUCCGAUUGAUAUUACCCUUCGAGGAAGUCACGGCUAACUACGUGCCAGCAGCCGCGGUAAUACGUAGGUGGCGAGCGUUAUCCGGAAUGAUUGGGCGUAAAGGGUGCGUAGGCGGCCUGCUAAGUCUGGAGUGAAAGGUACCGGAUCAACCGGUAUAGGCUCUGGAAACUGGCGGGCUAGAGAGCAGGAGAGGGCGGUGGAACUCCAUGUGUAGCGGUAAAAUGCGUAGAUAUAUGGAAGAACACCAGUGGCGAAGGCGGCCGCCUGGCCUGUUACUGACGCUGAGGCACGAAAGCGUGGGGAGCAAAUAGGAUUAGAUACCCCGGUAGUC
rnacentral:rRNA from 1 species